rnacentral:rRNA from 1 species
CCUACGGGGGGCAGCAGUGAGGAAUAUUGGUCAAUGGACGAGAGUCUGAACCAGCCAAGUAGCGUGAAGGAUGACUGCCCUAUGGGUUGUAAACUUCUUUUAUAUGGGAAUAAAAUGUUCCACGUGUGGGAUUUUGUAUGUACCAUAUGAAUAAGGAUCGGCUAACUCCGUGCCAGCAGCCGCGGUAAUACGGAGGAUCCGAGCGUUAUCCGGAUUUAUUGGGUUUAAAGGGAGCGUAGGUGGAUUGUUAAGUGAGUUGUGAAAGUUUGCGGCUCAACCGUAAAAUUGCAGUUGAGACUGGCAGUCUUGAGUGCAGUAGCGGUGGGCGGAAUGCGUGGUGUAGCGGUGAAAUGCUUAGAUAUCACGAAGAACUCCGAUUGCGAAGGCAGUUCACUGGACUGCAACUGACACUGAGGCUCGAAAGUGUGGGUAUCAAACAGGAUUAGAUACCCUUGUAGUC